rnacentral:rRNA from 1 species
UCAACCUGAGAGUUUGAUCCUGGCUCAGAGCGAACGCUGGCGGCAGGCCUAACACAUGCAAGUCGAACGGACCCUUCGGGGUUAGUGGCGGACGGGUGAGUAACACGUGGGAACGUGCCUUUAGGUUCGGAAUAGCUCCUGGAAACGGGUGGUAAUGCCGAAUGUGCCCUUCGGGGGAAAGAUUUAUCGCCUUUAGAGCGGCCCGCGUCUGAUUAGCUAGUUGGUGAGGUAACGGCUCACCAAGGCGACGAUCAGUAGCUGGUCUGAGAGGAUGACCAGCCACACUGGGACUGAGACACGGCCCAGACUCCUACGGGAGGCAGCAGUGGGGAAUCUUGCGCAAUGGGCGAAAGCCUGACGCAGCCAUGCCGCGUGAAUGAUGAAGGUCUUAGGAUUGUAAAAUUCUUUCACCGG